GGCAAGGUAAAACCACACCACAGAUUCAAGGAGCUGAAGACAUUGCAAGCAGGAGGCACUCUCAGGGGGAGCCAGAGCUAUUUUCAAACAUCUCUAUGACGUCACAGAAUGAAGGGGAGCCAUGAGAGAAUUCACCUAUAACACCUUCUACGGGUCCCAUUACCAGCAGGCUCUCUCACCCUGUGCCCUCCGCUGAUGGCAAGACACUAGCAGAUGUACCUGCUCAUUCCUUCUCUGAAACAGAGCAUAGUUAUUCAGGGAGGGGGGGUUAACAGGCAAUUUCUUCCUUCCGCUAAAUGAAGAGUGUGUCCUUUCCUGCCUGCCAGACACUGUCAUAAAAUGAAAGGCUAUGGAUUCAGUCAAGGUUAAAGAGGAUUAGGUUUGAUUGGGAGAUCAAAUACUGGCUACAGACAUAAAGAAAUAAACCUAGAAAAACUACAAGACAGGAACACGCCUGGUGGACACAGAACUACGUUAAGGAACAUUGAUGAUGCAGCCUGGUUUCCUGCUUUCAACUGAAUCUUCCUACAGACCCCGUCAUGCCUGUCACCUCUUUCAGACUCACCCAUCUCUCGCUCCCUCAUCUGCCAUCACAACAGUUAACUAACAGACAUCCCGUAAGAUGCAAAACUCUAGAUCUAAAUCCAACCAGGCAAAGAGAAGACAAGUGUGGCUAAGCCCUGCGGAAGAAAGACAUCGCACAAGUUUGUGGAAUGGCACCUCAGUGCACAACCUCCCACAACAGGGCUUCAACUUCCUCCAUGUCCCUGGCACGGCUCCACAGCUCCUCAUCCACUCACCAGCGCAUUCCUUAGGAAACAGUACUAAGAACCUUGGCCCUCCAAAAGAGCUCAGGAGAGCAAUUCCUUUAGUCCUCAGCCCAGAAACUGCAUUUCUCCUCAGUUACUCCUAGUUUUCCUAUUUGGUGAGGCUAUGGGAAGCUCAGAGCCAAAUGUGUGAGCCAGCCCCAGGCAACCAUGCAUGUCCCUAAGGCAGGCAUGCAUUUCCACACACUGCCCUGGCUCUUGACUUAACUGAUCAGUCCACCUUUGUGCGCUCUUGGCCCUGAUCCCCUUUCUCUGUCUCUCUACAUAGUCUUUAAGUUGCUUCAAAUUCUUUUUGAAACCAAGUAAGGUAGGGCAGUUCUAUGCUGAGAAUGUCACCCCUCUGCUGCUCUCCACAUUCUGACAGAAGUGAGUCAGGCUGGACGUCCACGGUUUACAUUUGUCACCACAGGUGGAUGAGGUGUCUCUGUCCUGUGCCAACAACUUUUGGUUGCGCAAACAAGCUUCUUGAGCAACAGUCCCUAAAUACUUACCAGUUUAUUUCCAACAGCCUUAAUGAAUGCCACAUAAUUCUGUCAGUAUCCUUUCAGAAAUGUCACGUGGCAUUUUUCUCAAGUUAGAUGUGCCAUAAAAUCAACAAAUACCACAAACUAUUCAAAAGAGUUUAGAACAGGCAAUCCAAAAUUUUUAAACCUAUACUCACCAACAAUAAACAAUUAUAAACCAAAUACAUUCUGCAAUGUAUAUCUUACCUGCUGAAUAAAAAGAUAAGCAAGGGCUGUCACUUGGGAGGCAGAGGCUGGAGAAUCAACUGCAGAGGGCAGCCUGGGCUACCAAUAAGAGCCUGCUUUAAAGAAAGAAGGAAAAAAAAAGACAAGCUUCAGAGAAGUUGCUACAAGAAAGCAUAUGAAUAUAUGACUACAUUCCACUCAUUUUAGGAAACAGACUACAUAUUUGGGCAGAGGAUGUAGCUCAGUUGGUAGAUCACUUGCCUAGCAUGCAUAAAGCCUUGGGUUGGAGCUCUGGCAUCUUACAAGCCAGGUGCCAUGGAUGGCGGCACAUGCCUGUCAUGCUAGCACUCGGGGAGAUAGACAGGAUGACUCGAAGUUUAAGGUCAUCCUCAGUGACACACUUAGUUUGAGGUCAGCCUGGGACACAUGAGACCUAUUAAAAGGAAAAAAGAACUCUGUAUCAUUCAAAUCAGAGAGAAAUCAUUGUGUACAUUUUUUAAAGGAAGAGGAAAAAAAUGGUAUGAAAGGGUGUCAUAACCCCACCUGGAAUUCCAGGGUUCAGGAAAGUCAAGCUAAGA